rnacentral:rRNA from 1 species
UACGUAGGGGGCAAGCGUUGUCCGGAUUUAUUGGGCGUAAAGAGCGUGUAGGCGGCCAGGUAGGUCAGCUGUGAAAACUCGGAGGCUCAACCUCGAGACGCCGGUUGAAACCAUCUGGCUAGAGUCCGGAAGAGGAGAGUGGAAUUCCUGGUGUAGCGGUGAAAUGCGCAGAUAUCAGGAAGAACACCCGUGGCUAAGGCGGCUCUCUAGUACGGUACUGACGCUGAGACGCGAAAGCGUGGGGAGCGAACAGG